AGAAACUUGGUUGCAAAUCACCGAUCGAUACUCUCAGAGAAAUCAGGAACAAGAAGGAUCAGUGGAGGGGCUAAGAAUUGGAUAGCUUCUUGCAUAAAUGCUUUUUGUGUGUUGUGGUGAACCUUUGAACAAGUGUUUGUAACCGUUGACGUUUAUUUAUACUCUCUGUGAAACUGGUAACCGGUUUGGUAAACCUAAACCGGACCGACCUGUAUGCCGUGUACCCUUCUCAGUUUCUAGUUUCUUGCGGAUAUGAAUAAAUGAAUCCUUUAUUUGUUGUCUUCGACAAAAAAUAAAGCUUUUGGAUGAAAAACAAUUGUCCCGUAUUAUACCCACGUGGCAACAAAACGGAGGUGAGAGUGGGCUUUUGACGUUACGGUCCUUCUUCUUCGUCCAGUGUGAUAGACAAAAAAAAAAAAAUAGGAGUAUCUUAUUUAAAAAAGAGAGACGGAACACAAUCUGGAAAUAUUAUAACUCAAGCUUUUGUACUUUUGCUUUAUCAUCAUCAUCUGUCUCGUAAUUACGAGCCAACAAUGAAUUUAUUAAACACCACCACACGCAUCUUCUUCUUACACAAACCAAAGCAGAGUAUCAUAACUUUCUCUUCCUUAUCUUCCAAUGCAAAGCUUAGUUUAGAUUCCUCUAGAACCAACUUUCAGAUGCCUUGCCUAAUCUCCGGCCAAUCCUUUCGCCGUCCGGGGAAACGUUUCAUCGUCUCCAAUGCUGCUUCUCCCUCUCUCUCUGGCUCCCCAGGUAUAAACUCUAAACACGUCAAAAUUUGUUCCUUACUUCUUUACUCAUGAGCUUCUUAUCAAAGUUUCUCAAAAAAAGGUCUAUACUUUGGACUGAUGAGUAGCUCUUUGUUCUUGAACUUACCUAAAAGAUUCAUACUUUCUGCUAAAUUUGAAACAUUUUGGGUUUCUACUUAUAAUUGGAUGAAUCUCUCUGUGUCUUUUGUCCCCUAAUGAUCUUCUUUAGAUGAUUAAUCUUCCUAAUUAAAAUGUACUCAUAAAUUUUCAGAUCAAUUUCUUGAUGGUGGUGCGCAGACCAAAGAGGAGACAAUAGCUGAAACAGAACAGGAUCCAAUGAACUUAGCUGAUCCAGACAGCUGUUUCUGCGAGUUUCAAGGUGUUAACAUACACCACAAAGUGUUUGAUCCACAGACACUCUCUGAUGAUGCUCCCAUCACAAACGUCGAUGCUCAAGGAACAACCCCAAAAGUCGAGUUUCCUAUGAUUCUUUUACACGGCUUUGGCGCUUCUGUGUUCUCCUGGAACAGAGUCAUGAAGCCUUUAGCUCGCCUUGUCCGUUCGAAAGUUCUCGCCUUUGAUAGACCCGCAUUUGGACUGACUUCUCGGAUCCUUCACCCGUUUAGUGGUGUUACCAAUGAUGCAAAGCCGUUGAAUCCGUACUCCAUGGUGUACUCCGUGCUAACCACGUUGUACUUCAUCGACUUUCUUGCAGCCGAUAAGGCCAUUCUUGUAGGGUAAGUUAGUAUGUUACAUUACACUUCGAAUCUCUUCUUCAAAGUGUUUAAUGUUUUCAUAUGUUGUAGGCAUUCAGCAGGUUGCCUUGUAGCUGUAGAUUCUUAUUUUGAAUCCCCAGAACGUGUUGCUAGAGAGAGAGAGAGAGAGAGAGAGAGAGAGAGACAAGAGAGUUACCAGUAGGUUCCGAGGACCGGGGUGACGAGGAGAGUGGCGCUGAUCCAAUUCUCGGAGACCUUGUGGUGGAUCUUCUCAGGGAGAUCCUUCCAGAGACCAGUCAUUAUCUUCUGCUGGAACGGCGAAAGCGCGUACACCACCGCCUUCAACUUCACCGGCUGCUUCCCCAUCUCUCUCUCUUUUUUUCACCUUCUUCCGACAACAAUCGCUACGAUUCACCUGAAUUAACCCUAUAUAAAACAAAUCUCAAUGAACCGGUUGAAUUACGAUUUUGGUUCGUUCGGUUCAAUUCGAUUUUGUAUGUUUUGAUUCGGUUCGGUUCAAAUCGAUUUUGUAUGUUUUGAUUCGAUUCGGUUAGUACAAACCGAAUCGAUUAACCGCUAGUUUACUUUAGUCUAGACAUUCUUCUCAGAUGAACCAGCACGUAGCCAUUUUGAGGAUUGCGACGAUCGAAUCAACCGAAGAAGACGAUGAAGAUCUCCCACGUUCCCUGUCUAGAAGACAACUACUCCUACCUGUGAGUGAUUCCGUAUCCAAUUUCGUUCCUUCUUUUUCUGAUUCGGCUUAUUGUCAAUUUUCUCGAUUUUUGACAGGAUAAUCGAUGAGAGCACCGGAGACGCGGCGGUUGUGGAUCCUGUUGAUCCCGAGAAAGUGAUUCAGUCGGCUGAGCAGCACAGUGCCAAUAUCAAGUUCGUUCUCACCACGCAUCAUCACUGGUAACUCUCCCUCACUUCACUCUGCUUAACCUAAAGUCGGUAACUUUAUCAACGUUUCAUUCAUUUUUAAGAUUCUCUUGGUUCCAAUUUUUAUGAUUUGGAGUUUAUAGCUAAAGUUUCAUUUUUUUAUGUGUCCUUCUCUGAUUGUUGGAUUGUUGUUUUUUUUUUUUGCCUUGAAAGGGAUCAUGCUGGUGGCAACGAGAAGAUGAAGCAGUUGGUGCCUGGAAUCAAAGUCUAUGGAGGUUCUCUUGAUAAGGUCAAGGGAUGCACUGAUGCGGUUGAUAAUGGUGACACCUUGUCUUUGGGUCAUGAUGUUAACAUAUUAGCUCUUCACACCCCUUGGUAUGUUUGCUUUUAUUUUAAUUUUGAUCUUAUUGGUUCUUGUUAUCCUUCUGAUAUGUUUGCUGCAUGUUUCAGUCACACCAAGGGUCACAUCAGUUACUAUGUCACUGGCAAAGAUGGAGAAACCCCAGCUGUGUUCACUGGAGAUACACUUGUAAGUGUUAACAUUACAAGCUGGAUGCUCUUGUUCCAUAUAAUAUCAAGAACAUAUCUUAAUCCCAUAUAGAAACUGUGUUUACUUUGAUGCUAUACAGUUCGUUGCUGGCUGUGGGAAGUUUUUCGAAGGGACAGCUGAACAGAUGCAUCAGUCCUUGUGUGUGACUCUGGCUUCACUACCUAAACCGACCCAGGUUUACUGCGGCCACGAGGUAACAAUAAAAUAACAGCUUCAUAAUAUCGUAUUUUGUGUUCAAUCUCUCGAUAAACUGAAUAACCCCUUAUAUAUAUUUCUUGUGAUUGCCUCAGUACACUGUGAAGAACUUGGAGUUUGCUUUAACUGUGGAACCAAAUAACGAGAAGAUACAGCAGAAGCUAUCAUGGGCCCGUCAACAGCGCCAAGCAAAUCUUCCCACAAUCCCUUCAACACUAGAAGAAGAGCUCGAAACAAACCCGUUUAUGCGGGUUACUAAUCCUGAGAUACAGGUCAUUAUCCUUAUCUCGAACAAGGCUAAAUUACUUGUGUGCAGGCUCUUGUGUAUUCAAUCUUUAUCAAGUUGUCACUGUUCUCUUGCUGAUAUCGAUCUUUUAACUCUCGUCUCAAUGUAUUCUUGUACAGGAGAAACUUGGUUGCAAAUCACCGAUCGAUACUCUCAGAGAAAUCAGGAACAAGAAGGAUCAGUGGAGGGGCUAAGAAUUGGAUAGCUUCUUGCAUAAAUGCUUUUUGUGUGUUGUGGUGAACCUUUGAACAAGUGUUUGUAACCGUUGACGUUUAUUUAUACUCUCUGUGAAACUGGUAACCGGUUUGGUAAACCUAAACCGGACCGACCUGUAUGCCGUGUACCCUUCUCAGUUUCUAGUUUCUUGCGGAUAUGAAUAAAUGAAUCCUUUAUUUGUUGUCUUCGAC
rnacentral:lncRNA from 1 species